ensembl:lncRNA
GGAGGGUGUCUCCAUCCACAAGCAGGAAAUCCGGGUGUGCGUGCCUCCUCCGGGCCUUCCGGCCUGAGAACUGAAUUGAGGCCCAGAAGUGGCAGGACACCAUCGGUGAUCGUGCUCAUGCCCUGCCCUUGGGGUGACCCCAUUAAAGCAGGACAAGUCACGAGAGGCCCCUGGCAGGAAAGACUAAUCCUGUGCUGACUCGGCAAGUGAAGGGCGCCUUGGGGCUACCGGUUUUAUAGUCAUUUUUAAGGGGCCUUUGCCGUCUACAACUCAAUUAAGCAUUUUCAACACUUCAAACUGGAUUUAUCUUUUAUUUCCCUUUAUGUGCUCCAACUUGUCUGAAUUGACAACAAAAUAUCAGAGGCAGGGACAGAGAGCGCGCUGACUCCAGGAUUCCUGGGAUUUAAGAAGUCCAGGGACCAUCCAGAGGGUCUGGAGCACGUGCCCCUACUCCAGACAGCGCUGCGGGCACCUCGGGCCUCCGGAUGCCCCAAACCAAAGGCUAAGCCCCCUCUUCGCCAUGGCCCCGCCUCCAGCGUGCCUUGCGCGGCGGCGGCCCGGAAGCUGGCGUGGCGCGCUAGCGGCGGCGCUCAGGCGUUC